CCUACGGGCGGCUGCAGUGGGGAAUUUUGGACAAUGGGGGCAACCCUGAUCCAGCCAUGCCGCGUGAGUGAAGAAGGCCUUCGGGUUGUAAAGCUCUUUCGGCCGGGAAGAAAUCGCUCAAGCUAAUACCUUGGGUGGAUGACGGUACCGGAAGAAGAAGCACCGGCUAACUACGUGCCAGCAGCCGCGGUAAUACGUAGGGUGCGAGCGGCGAUCGGCAUUACUGGGCGUAAAGCGUAGACAGACGGCGAAUCCCCGGGCUUAACCUGGGAACUGCGUUUGUGACUGUGGGGCUCGAGUGCGGCAGAGGGGGGUGGAAUUCCACGUGUAGCAGUGAAAUGCGUAGAGAUGUGGAGGAACACCGAUGGCGAAGGCAGCCCCCUGGGUCGACACUGACGCUCAUGCACGAAAGCGUGGGGAGCAAACAGGAUUAGAUACCCUAGUAGUC
rnacentral:rRNA from 1 species